GGGCAUAUACUUGUCUCAAAGAUUAAGCCAUGCAUGUCUAAGUACAGACUUAUACAUAGUGAAACCGCGAAUGGCUCAUUAAAUCAGUUAUGGUUCCUUAGAUCCUACAAUCCUACUUGGAUAACUGUGGCAAUUCUAGAGCUAAUACAUGGCAAAACAGCUCCGACCUCACGGGAAGAGCGCUUUUAUUAGAACAAAACUAAUGGCGGUCGCAAGGCCGUCUCACCUUGGUGAUUCUGAAUAACUUUGUGCUGAUCGCAUGAGCUUGCCUCGGCGACGUAUCUUUCAAAUGUCUGCCCUAUCAACUUUCGAUGGUACGUGCUAUGCCUACCAUGGUUGUAACGGGUAACGGGGAAUCAGGGUUCGAUUCCGGAGAGGGAGCAUGGGAAACGGCUACCACAUCCAAGGAAGGCAGCAGGCGCGCAAAUUACCCACUCCUGGCACGGGGAGGUAGUGACGAAAAAUAACAAUACGGGACUCUUACGAGGCCCCGUAAUUGGAAUGAGUACACUUUAAACCUUUUAACGAGUAUCAAUUGGAGGGCAAGUCUGGUGCCAGCAGCCGCGGUAAUUCCAGCUCCAAUAGCGUAUAUUAAAGUUGUUGCGUUUAAAAAGCUCGUAGUUGGAUCUCGGGUCCAGGCUUGCGGUCCGCUCCUUGGCGGUCACUGCUUGAUCCUGACCUACCUGACCGGUUUUUGCCCUUGGUGCUCUUGAUUGAGUGUCCUCGGGUGACCGGAACGUUUUACUUUGAAAGAAAAAAGAAAAAAAGAAAAAAAAAAAAGCUUUUCCGCCCGCCUCCGACCAAACCCAAUUUAAAACCACAAAAAAGUUUAAGACGAGCGGCCCGCAAUUCAAAGUUGGAUUUUGACAAAUUCGCCCUUUAAAUAAAGCAAAAUUACAACUUUCAAGGGCAGCUGGAUUUAAAAAAGAGAUAAAUAGAAAAAGCCCUAAUAUAUAAUCAACAUUAAUGCCCGUAGAAACCAUUACCACAUUAAGACGAAGAUGGUUAUAAUUGCCGAAAAGUGCCAGAUCCCUAUGCGCCAUGUCCCAGAAGUGUUGUGUUGUUUAAAAUGGAAGAGAGAAAGAGUUGAAAGAGGGUCUAUAUGUUAGAGAAACAUUACGCCGAAAUUUUUGUCGACUGAACCACGCAGAGAUUUUGAACGCGAGUAAGGUCAUAUAUAUAGGAGAAAGGCAACUGAAAGGAGGUGGUAUGGGAGCGACGCCAAAAUUAGUGUUAUUUAUAGGAGUCCGCGCCACGGACUAGAACGUCAGGGACAUCACGGAAGAUUGGGCGGAGGUGGUGUGUGAUGGCGGAGGUGUGAUAUUGAGUAGGAAGAAAGCAGGAUCUUGAACUAACAGGGAAGCCUGACACGUAGGUCAAUCCGAGACGGGAUGGAGGCGGAGUUCAGAUGUGUAAUGUAGGAUAGGAUGUGAGAUAGAGAGAAAAGACGAUGAGGUAAAAAGAGUGAGAAAUUAGCGGUCAGUUACUGGUGGACAGGGGGCAAAG
rnacentral:rRNA from 1 species